GAUGAACGCUGGCGGCGUGCCUAAUACAUGCAAGUCGAGCGAAAAGAUAAGGAGCUUGCUCCGUUGACGUUAGCGGAGGACGGGUGAGUAACACGUGGGUAACCUAUCUAUAAGACUGGAAUAACUCCGGGAAACCGGGGCUAAUGCCGGAUAACAUGUUGAACCGCAUGGUUCUACAGUGAAAGGCGGCUGUGCUGUCACUUAUAGAUGGACCCGCGCCGGAUUAGCUGGUUGGUGAGGUAACGGCUCACCAAGGGAACGAUACGUAUCCGACCUGAUUGGGUGAUCGGCCACACUGGAACGUGACCACGGUCCUUGCUCCUGCGGGAGGCAGCAGUAGGGAACCUUCCGCAAUGGUCGAAAGCCUGACGGAGCAACGCCGCGUGAGUUAUGAAGGUCUUCGGAUCGUAAAACUCUGUUAUGAGUUGAGAACAAAUGCGUAAUUAGCUGUGCGCUUCUUGACGGUACCUAAUCAGAAAGCCACGGCUAACUACGUG
rnacentral:rRNA from 1 species